GAGUUUGAUCUUGGCUCAGAUUGAACGCUGGCGGCAGGCCUAACACAUGCAAGUCGAGCGGAUGACGGGAGCUUGCUCCUUGAUUCAGCGGCGGACGGGUGAGUAAUGCCUAGGAAUCUGCCUGGUAGUGGGGGACAACGUUUCGAAAGGAACGCUAAUACCGCAUACGUCCUACGGGAGAAAGCAGGGGACCUUCGGGCCUUGCGCUAUCAGAUGAGCCUAGGUCGGAUUAGCUAGUUGGUGGGGUAAUGGCUCACCAAGGCGACGAUCCGUAACUGGUCUGAGAGGAUGAUCUGCCACACUGGAACUGAGACACGGUCCAGACUCCUACGGGAGGCAGCAGUGGGGAAUUUUGGACAAUGGGGGCAACCCUGAUCCAGCCAUGCCGCGUGAGUGAAGAAGGCC
rnacentral:rRNA from 2 species